GUCUUAUUGAAUAUAAUUUUAAGUCUAAUCUGCCCACUGAAUUUUUAAAUGGCCGCGGUAUUUUGACCGUGCAAAGGUAGCAUAAUCAUUAGUUUUUUAAUUGAAAGCUGGAAUGAAGGAUUGAAUGAGAAAAUAACUGUCUCUUAAAUAGUUAUUGAAUUUUAUUUUUAAGUAAAAAAGCUUAAAUAAUAUUUAAAGACGAGAAGACCCUAUAGAGUUUUAUUUUUUUUUAUUUAUAUUUAUUUUAGUAUUAAUGUUAAAUUUAAAUAGAAAAAAUUUAAUUGGGGUGAUUAAAAAAUUAGUUAAACUUUUUUUAUUUAAAUUCAAUAAUUUUUGUUUAGAUGAUCCAUUUUUAGUGAUUAAAAGAUUAAAUUACCUUAGGGAUAACAGCGUAAUUUUUUUUAAAAGUUCUUAUUGAAAAAAAAGUUUGCGACCUCGAUGUUGGAUUAAAAUUAAUUUUUGGUGGAGAAGCUAAAAGUUUUAGUCUGUUCGACUAUUAAAAUUUUACA
rnacentral:rRNA from 1 species